UACACUUUUGUGUUACAUCUACGCCGUGGCUACCUGACCCUAUGCCGUAGCCUGACGGGCACCUCUCCAAAAGUGUAACUACACAUCGCGGCAACGCAAUUUGCUCAGCUUUGGCUUGGUAGCGUUACAAUUCCCCCCCGACUCAUUUCCUGGUUCUCCUUCUCCAUAACCAACAUGAAAUCAAGGAGAGAGUUAACUUUUCAUGCUACAGAUUUCCAACCAUGGUCAGAAAGAACAGGGGAGACACUUUGUUUCUCUCACUAGGACUCUAGAGUCGCUACUCGCUCCGAAGCUAAUCACCAUCACUCCCUCACUUGCACACAUGCACCAAACAGCAGUCAAAGUUAGCAGCUAGUUGGCUCGGAGGAGCAUUCAGCAGCAGAGCCGGAUUGAACAGUGGACUUCCAUUCAUCCUGAUGAUGUUGCUCUGUGUCUGCUGGAUGUGUAAAUAGGCAACAAACAGGUUUGGCAACAACGUUAGAAGGACUACAGUAUUUUUUAAGAUGUUAUGCUCUCAGCUUGCUCUACUGCCCCCAAGUGGUCCAAAAACAGAUGCAGCAGCUUUAAACAUGAUGGAGCAGAUGUAAUGCCUGUGGACAAACACGUGGCUGUGCCACGCUAUCUUUCAUGGGGUGGGGGGGGGGGGAGAACCAGAGGCACCGUUCCAUUCCUGAGAUGCAUUGUGUCAGGGCUACAUUCAGCAAGGUUUAGGCAGCCGGGUUCUGACUGUGACUCCAGCUUCUGUUCUGAAAGAGGGCUGUGUAUUUUUUGCUGGAAACAGUCUUUCUAUUUAUGAAAACCUUGCUUUCAUACUGCUCAAAGGGAAACGUGGGGACAUGCUGGUGGAGGCGGUUUGUUGUGGGGGUGUACAGAUUGGUCCGGGGUGGUGGGGGUUGGUUACUUUUUGUAUACUAUUUAUUUGAUAAGCAUUACCUGUUGUCCAACAUUUGGCAUUGUUUGACAUGCUGAUGAUGAUUUCUCAGUCUCUGUUUGGCGUAUGUUGAGGGUAGCUGUGUCAUUUCCCACACAGCUUUGGGUUCAGUGAACUGCUCUCUGCAACAGGGCGGCCAUCUUGGUCCCAGCAGCUCCCUGGCUGCAGAGGAAUUCCAUCCGGUAUUAACUGUCAGCAUCUGAGCGUGUGCAGCAGUGCUCAGCACCAUUUCUUAGCUGGAGAAAAAAACAAACAUUCUUUCAUUUGUAAAUUGUGGGUGUACAUAUAAGAAAUAUUCAUUUUGGCUUGCUACUGUACAAUGAUUUCUUUUUACGUGUCAUCCAGCAUGAGAUGUUUAUUUUUAGGACAACGCUUGUAAAUACUGUAAUUGUAAUAAUUUUAAGCACAAAUGUAAUACAGUUUUAUUGUGUUACCA